UGCCAGCCGCCGCGGUAAUACGGAGGGGGUUGGCGUGUUUGGGAAUUACUGGGCGUAAAGCGCACGUAGGCGGAUUAGUCAGUCAGAGGUGAAAUCCCAGGGCUCAACCCUGGAACUGCCUUUGAUACUGCUAGUCUUGAGUUCGAGAGAGGUGAGUGGAAUUCCGAGUGUAGAGGUGAAAUUCGUAGAUAUUCGGAGGAACACCAGUGGCGAAGGCGGCUUUCUGGACCGAUACUGACGCUGAGACGCGAAAGCGUGGGGAGCAAACAGGAUUAGAUA
rnacentral:rRNA from 1 species